UUGAAUUUUUUGCCGACGUAAAUUUAAGCUGUGAAGGAACACUACAGGUAGAGAAGAAAGAAAGGAAGAAUGAUGGUUACUUUUCUUUAUAAAAUUUGGUUCAGGAUGCCGUUUUACCUGUUGUAAUACCUUC